CAUACAUAUAACAACGUCUCGAUGUUAGUACAAUUAAAAGAGCAAUUGACAAGUGAGGACAACAGACAUGUAUAGCUGGAUGUGGGCAUGUCAUUUUCAAGCAGGAGUAACAUAAUUUGGUUCCUGAAUAUUGAUGGCCAGUACUGUGGCAACAUAGUAUAUUUAGAUGGAUUUAUACUUACAUAUAUAUAUAUAUAUAGCUGUGAUGUGGACACUCUUAUAAAAGGAGAAAGAAACUUGCAUUAGGAAUAGGGACCUAGACAUCAGGACUUGGAACAUCAUUUGAAUUGACUAUUUUUCAACCUUAUUGACUGUGCUUGGUUACAAAUAUAACUGUGUAUAGCCUGAAAGGUUAAAUGUUUGGAUCAUGUUGUUAACGUGUAUUUUCAUUGGUUAAUUUCUCAAUGGAUGUUGCUGUUUUGAUUA